AGCAGCCGCGGUAAUUCCAGCUCCAAUAGCGUAUAUUAAAGUUGUUGCAGUUAAAAAGCUCGUAGUUGAAUUUCGGGACCAAUCUGCCGGUCGUGCCUCCGGUAUGCACUGGUUUUAUUGGUUUCUCCCUUCUGACGAAUCAUGAUGUCAUUAAUUUGGUGUCAUGGGGAAUCAGGACUGUUACUUUGAAAAAAUUUAGAGUGUUUAAAGCAGGCUCACGCUUGAAUACAUUAGCAUGGAAUAAUGAAAUAGGACGUUUGACCCUAUUUUGUUGGUUUCUAGGAUCGACGUAAUGAUUAAUAGGGAUAGUUGGGGGGCAUUAGUAUUCAAUUGUCAGAGGUGAAAUUCUUGGAUUUAUUGAAGACUAACUACUGCGAAAGCAUUUGCCAAGGAUGUUUUCAUUAAUCAAGAACGAAAGUUAGGGGGUCGAAGACGAUCAGAUACCGUCGUAGUCUUAACCAUAAACUAUGCCGACUAGGGAUCGGAUGAUGUUAAUUUUUUAAUGACUCAUUCGGCGCCU
rnacentral:rRNA from 1 species